AUGGGAGUGAGUUUCCACUGGCCCUCUCUAUGUCCACCAACUGGCACUGUAACUCUUUGGAGUCUGAGUUCCUGCCGUCAGUUUCAGUUGAAUUUCUCCUCUUCGAUGACAUUUUGUCCCUACUUUGAUUGUCCUCUCUCUCUUUCUCAGUUGAAUGUCUCCUCUUCGGUGGCUUCUUGUCCCUGGAUUGACAGCCCUCACACGCUUUCACAGUUGAUGAUCCCCUCUUCUUGUCUUUACAUCGAUUUCCAUCACUCUCAGUUGAAUGUCUCGUCUUGUGUGAUGCAUGUGGCUUCUUGUCCCUGGAUUGACAGCCUUCACACGCUUUCACAGUUGAUGAUCCCCUCUUCUUGUCUUUACAUCGAUUUCCAUCACUCUCAGUUGAAUGUCUCGUCUUGUGUGAUGCAUGUGGCUUCAUGUCCCUGCAUUGAUUAUCCACAGUUGCCUUCAACCCAGAGCACUUAGUGGUUUGGGAUGGUGUCCUUCCCCUCUCUGCUCUCCCAUGGCUUUUCUUGUAACUUUGCCUGUCAGAUGACGUUGGAUGGAGGGACUUCUCCUUUUCCAUUUUUUUAUGUCCUUUUUGCUUUGACUUGCAGGUUUUGUAUUGGGUGACAAAGUCAGCAACUUUGUCAUACUUUUCUACAGGUGAACCACAGUCCUCUAUAGGUGAAAACCAGUUGUCUGCUAUGAUGUUAGCUCUUAACUUAGAGGGGUUUUCAACCUUGGGAAGUGGUAAUGUACUCAUCCUACAGUCUUGGUCCUUCUCUUGCCAUCUUUCCCUAUCCUCAGAACCAGGACUGACUUUGCUUUGGGUCGUACGUUCUUGGGCUGACUCACAUGGUGCUUUGGCAUCAGUUUCAGGCUCUGUCCUUUUAACACUAGAAGCAUGAGCCUCAAUCUGAGCAUGUUGUUCAUUAUAGCUCUCCUCUGUCUCCUGAUCAGAAUCCUCACUUGUAUCUGACCAGAAAAAAAAGUCAAUGAUCGGUAUGACGCCUGUCCAUUGCUGCAUUUCACCCUGUGUCUUAUUGUCAUCACCCUCUUCUUCAGUUGAAUGUGUCUGCUUCUUGUCCCUGCAUUGAUUGUCAACAGCAGUCACCUUCCCCCCAGAGUCCUUAGGGACCUCUGUCUCCUGAUCAUUUCUAUGUGACAUGGUAAAGCAGUGAGCGAUUGUUAUGCAUCUUGUAUCUUGCUGCAAUCCUUUCUCUCUCUGACAACUGGAGCAUAGGCCCAUUUCAAACCCAUUGUCAGUUUCAAUACCACAAGGACAGUAGCAGGACUUAUCUAAGCUGCCACUUUCUAUAUUCUCUAGUUGGUUUGUCUGUGUCUUAUCUUUGUUUUUAGAGCAGGAUUCAGGGGACGCGAAUUGGAGGUCAGAGCCAUUCUCGAUCUGGCAAAACAGUCUCAUGGCAUCCUCAGAUCUCAGGAUGGUCAAAUUCAUUGGGGAAAGGGGUUCUGUGUCCGAGUCUGUUGUGAGGUCUACGACCGUUUUGAGGUCUGUGUCUGGUGCCUCUGUUUCAGCAAGCAGUUUCACAGCGUCCUCUGGUGUGAGGACGGUCAAAAUCAUUGGGGAAAGGGGUUCUGUCUCUAAGUCUGCGUUUGUUGGGAGGUCUGUGUUUGUUGGGGGGUCUACGUCCAUCGUGAGGUGUGUGUUUGUUGUGAGGUCUGAGUCUAUUGCUUCUGCAGGAAAUUCCACAGUCUCCAUCUUGCUGUGGAAGGUGUCAUCCAUCUGGACACCCCCAACCACUUUGGAACUGUCCUCUGCUUUAUCUGGUAUGAACCACAGAGACCAAGCUCUUCCAGAAUCUUUGUCAAUGUCAUUCAGCUUCUCGUUGACAUUUAACCAUGACGACCUGUAACCCACUUGGGAAGAGGUGUCAACAUGUACUGGAAUGGGAAACUUCUCGAGCACUUCCCCUAGUGAUAUACCACUGACUGCAAAGAGAACCACGGCCUUCUCAUCCUCUGCGGCCCAGGCAGACACAUCCUGCAUGAUUUUCUCAUCCAUUUGAUCUUUUAAAGCCUCUACCAGGUCAGAGGUAUCCCCUCCCCGAUACAACUCCAAUAUGGCCUCGAGACAACCAUCCUCUGCCUCUGUGACUGUUGUCGCACUCUCCAGAUAAGUAUCCAGUUGCUGCAGCGCACAUAACUUGAACUGAACUUCAGCAAUUGUGGACAAAUCAAGAGUGUUCUCAUCUGCAACAUUAGAGCUACCUUCCACGAUUAUCUGGGCACCACCGAUGCAUACAAUAUCAGUUGCCUGAGGGUUGGUGUGGACAAAUGGUGAAGGUGAUCUCUUGUCCAUUUGUGUGAUGACCUGAAGGACCUCAUCAUUGUCCACUCCUGUAGAUGCCAUUGAACUUGUUGCAGAUGCAUCUACAGGUUUAUCACACUCCAGAAGACUCUCAACUUGAACCAUCUCAUUUAGGACAGAGAGAGAACUUGCAUCAUCUUUAGCUCUUUCCCACAGGUUUUCUGCCUGUUUUUCGUUGAUGGACCAGGCCUGUAAAAUCUUAAAUGGCAGCUCAUUGCCUGCAUUCUCUGUCUCCAUGGGCUCUGGGGACUGCUGUGGACCCAUUGGCGGGACGAUAGCCACGGGGGGCGGCGGAGCGGUGGCAACUGCCGUCAGGGUCAUGUACCUGGGGGUGGACUUAAUCUCCAGCCGUAUAGUGGAGUCCUCAUCACUAAACCUCUCAGGGGGUCUCACCUGGUAGUCUUUGGUGUUUAGAUGUAGUUGUGUUUUGCCUGCUUGUAAAACAUACAUCUUCUCUGUGCUGAAUUGUAGGGACUGAGAGGGGUCUUGUGUUGAGUUAUUCCCAUUUACAGGUCCAUUUUUAGAUCUUAAAACACUCUGGGGCCAGUGCUGUAUUUCCUUGAGCGAGAUCUUAUGUUUAUGAGGUUUUUCCUGAGGGGUGUCAGUGAGAGAAGGAGAGGAAGCAUGUUGCUGUUCAGGGGUGGUAGAGGUCUGUGUGUGAGAAACCAGAGCAGCAUUGCCAGGAAGAUGAUCUGUAUGUUGUGUUAUGGCUUGGGAAGGAACACUAGGUCCUAGUAUACCAUGGGUGUCUGCAUGUGUUACCUGGGCUGCUUUUAGGUCAACAACACCAGAUUCUGUACCUCCCGUGGAAGGGAAAUCUGUAAAAACAAGUGAUGUAGAAUAUCUCGCAGGAGCAGUUGUAUGUCCUGAUGUUGUUUCACUGUGUUUGUUGUUGACCAUAGGAACAGUUGGAGUGAUGUUGGNNNNNNNNNNUUCUGUGUGUUCGUUUUUCAUGUCCAUGCUAGCUAUACAUAUUACACAAAAACUUUGAGGGAAUACAUGCCGUUUUCUUUUGCCAGUGGCUUGCGAUUAGUGUCCUUACCUGAGUGUCUGAAUUCUUUUGGAGGAUCACGAUGGAGAGACUUCGUCCAAUGCUUUGCCUGAACAAUGCUCUCCUUCAUCAAAAUGGCAGCAGGCUCCUGCAUUUCCCACUUCCUUUUGAAGCGCUUUUCACAUAAACCGCUUGGUCCAGGCUUCAGCUCCCCUAUAUCUUGCUGCUUCACUUCCAUAACGGGGGGCUGUUUCUUCUUGUUCUGGCAGUUCACAGAAGCAUCUUCCUCUUCAUCAUCAGAGCGCUGUGCAUCUUCCGGAUCUGUGUAAGACCUGUUGAACAUGACGUAAUUUUCAUAUUCACAG
rnacentral:lncRNA from 13 species